CUUGCACCUUUCAAGCGAGUGGCGAACGGGUGAGUAACACGUGGAUAACCUGCCUCAAGGCUGGGGAUAACAUUUGGAAACAGAUGCUAAUACCGAAUAAAACUUAGUAUCGCAUGAUACAAAGUUGAAAGGCGCUACGGCGUCACCUAGAGAUGGGUCCGCGGUGCAUUAGUUAGUUGGUGGGGUAAAGGCCUACCAAGACAAUGAUGCAUAGCCGAGUUGAGAGACUGAUCGGCCACAUUGGGACUGAGACACGGCCCAAACUCCUACGGGAGGCUGCAGUAGGGAAUCUUCCACAAUGGGCGAAAGCCUGAUGGAGCAACGCCGCGUGUGUGAUGAAGGCUUUAGGGUCGUAAAGCACUGUUGUAUGGGAAGAAAUGCUAGAAUAGGGAAUGAUUCUAGUUCGACGGUACCAUACCAGAAAGGGACGGCUAAAUACGUGCCAGCAGCCGCGGUAAUACGUAUGUCCCGAGCGUUAUCCGGAUUUAUUGGGCGUAAAGCGAGCGCAGACGGUUGAUUAAGUCUGAUGUGAAAGCCCGGAGCUCAACUCCGGAAUGGCAUUGGAAACUGGUUAACUUGAGUGUUGUAGAGGUAAGUGGAACUCCAUGGGUAAGC
rnacentral:rRNA from 1 species